AGACUUUUUGCUGUACUUGCUAUUGGGCAAAAUCCUGUCUGCUACCUGGUAUUCAUGUAGAGUAAACUGCAAUGUGGAAACAGAUGGUAUGACCAAGUGGGAGAGAGACUCUGUCUGCAAAACUGGGAGAGCUUCACUCUGACUGGGGGUGGAAGAGGAAUGAACAAGUCCACCCCAGCGUAAAAAUAAGAUGAAAAUAUAAAAGAAUGUCAGUGUUGAAGGUUACUCCUUUUGAUUUUGCCAAUAUCCCGGAACCAUGUGAGCACAUGAACAUUCCAAAGAAGAAGAUACCUCCAGGUUCUUCAGAUGAGUCUCACUCUGUUGCCCAGGCUGGAAUACACUGGCACCGUCUCAGCUCACUGCAACCUCCGACUCCCUGGUUCAAGCGAUUCUCCUGCCUCAGCCUCCCAAGUAGCUGGGAUUACAGGCUAUAAAAGUAUUUACAGAGGAGAGGGAAAGAGAGCACAGUGGAGAGAUGCCUUGGGAGAGAGCUGUUACUGGCCAUGGUGUCAUUCUUCUUCCACAGGGAGAAGCAGAUCCAAACUGAGAAGGGAGAAGAUGUGAUAGUUGAUAUCACAACAAGCUUGAGUUUUGAUUAAUAUCUUGGACAGGACAUUCUAUGUUCCAAAUAGAGAUUGUGUGUUACAAAGUGACUGCAGGACCAAAAAUGAGUAGCAAAUUCAUGAACCUCUUAGAUUUUUUUAAUUUAGGACAUGAUGAGAUUACUGCCAGUGACUCAACUUUUAAAAUACAAGGAAUAACUAAAUAAAUAAAGUAAAAUUGCACUUUUAAUUGUAUUUUGAAGACAUCAUGAGCUGUGAUUCAUUCACUUCAUCUCAUAGAACUUCUGCUGGUG
rnacentral:lncRNA from 1 species